AUCAGUGCGCUGCAAACAGCCCUGUAUGGUAGUUAAUCUAUUACGGAUGGCGUCAUUCUUUCAAACGGAUAAAAUUAAAAAAUGGGUGGCAAAAUAUACUUUGGCAGCUGUUACUAAACCUGGGGGAUGUUUUUUUUAUUAACAAUAGAAAUAUUACAUCCAUUGUAACUUUUUUCCUUUUUUUUCUCUUUACCAGAAAUACAUCUCAAGAAGCAGUGUCCCCAUUCUCUCAUAUUUGUGUGUGGCCCUAGACAAUUUAUGUGACGUGUAUGUGGCAGUGCAGUCAAUGUGUCGCUAGAGAGAGUAGUAGGUCUGGACAAUGACGCAGCCCAUAAGACUGAGAAUCAUCCUUGGUGAAAAUGAUGCGAGGAAGCUUAUUCUGCCAGCAGGGAUACCAGACUCCAUAGAGGAAUUGUGCCAGACAAUAAAGACGAGUUUUGGAUUGCAACAAGAUUUUCGGCUUCAGAAUCAGGAUGCUGAUUUUGGAAAUGAGU